rnacentral:rRNA from 1 species
CGGACGGGUGAGUAACGCGUGGGUAACCUGCCUGUACAGGGGGAUAACAGCUGGAAACGGCUGCUAAUACCGCAUAAGCGCACGAGGAGACAUCUCCUUGUGUGAAAAACUCCGGUGGUACAGGAUGGGCCCGCGUCUGAUUAGCUGGUUGGCAGGGUAACGGCCUACCAAGGCAACGAUCAGUAGCCGGUCUGAGAGGAUGAACGGCCACAUUGGAACUGAGACACGGUCCAA